rnacentral:tRNA from 1 species
GGGGGAUAUGGCGAAAUCGGUAGACGCUACGGACUUGAAUAUGAAAAAAUGGAAGAAUUUUUGUGACUCCAUUUCAAGUUGAAAAAGGAAUCAAAUAUUCAUUUCUCAAAUCAUUCACUCCAUAGUCUGAUAGAUCUUUCUUUGAAAGAACCGCUUAAUCGGUUACUCGGACGAGAAUAAAGAUAGAGUCCCAUUAUACAUGUCAAUACCGACAACAAUGAAAUUUAUAGUACAAGGAAAAUCCGUCGACUUUCAAAAUCGUGAGGGUUCAAGUCCCUCUAUCCCCA